GCUAGUCCCUCUGUCACUCCAAAGAAGUACAUGUCUUCUUCUCCAGAACUUGUGAAUAUGUUACGUUACAUGGCUAAGGGAAUUCAGGUAGCAGAUGGAAGCAAGGUUGCCAAUCAGCUGAUGUUAAAAUGAGAAGAUUAUCCUGGAUUUUCUGGGUCCCUGCAACUGAUGCACCCUUUACUUUAAGAGAAUAGGAGGACAUCAUGUUCAUAAAGAAACCUUGGAUCUCGAACAUACCUAAAAAGCAGCUUAAAGUCCUUGGAGCAAACAGUACAGCUGAGAAAUGUUACACCAGUUGGGUGUCAAUCCAUAAAACCCGUUCUAGAGAAAAUCGUGGAGAUGUUUAAAGACAUGAAGCCAAAGACAAAUUUUUCAACCAGAACCCUCAAGAAAUGUCAUUUCUGUGUCUUGCCAAGAGAGAUCCAGCAUUUUUUCUACAUAAACAUCUGCUGGAAACAUUUUAAAGGGAGGC